CCCCCAAAGGCUUUGGUUCCCGGAAGCUUUCGGGAUCCCCNUUUNAGGUAAACGGCCCGCCCAGGUUGNUGCCUGGGAAAUUUCGGCCCNUUCCGCCGCCCCUNAUCCAGGCUUUGUUUGGGUGGGGGGUAAAAUGGGCCCUNCCCAAAGGCGGGCGACGGGGUUAUUCCCGGCCCUGGAGGAGGGGGNGNNCGGGACCACAUUUNGGGACUUGAAGAAUACCGGCCCCAAGNNUCUUUACGGGAGGCCAGCAGUGGGGGAAUAUUUGCACAAUGGGGCGCAAGCCUUGAUGCAAGCGACGCCGCGUGGGGGAAUGAAGGCCUUCGGGUUGUAAACUCCUUUCGCUAUCGGACGAAGCCACUUGUGGUGACGGUAGGUAGAUAAGAAGCACCGGCUAACUACGUGCCAGCAGCCGCGGUAAUACGUAGGGUGCAAGCGUUGUCCGGAAUUACUUGGGCGUAAAGAGCUCGUAGGUGGUUUGUCGCGUCGUCUGUGAAAUCCCGGGGCUUAACUUCGGGCGUGCAGGCGAUACGGGCAUAACUUGAGUGCUGUAGGGGAGACUGGAAUUCCUGGUGUAGCGGUGAAAUGCGCAGAUAUCAGGAGGAACACCGAUGGCGAAGGCAGGUCUCUGGGCAGUAACUGACGCUGAGGAGCGAAAGCAUGGGUAGCGAACAGGAUUAGAUACCCUGGUAGUCCAUGCCGUAAACGGUGGGCGCUAGGUGUAGGGGGCUUCCACGUCUUAUGUGCAGUAGNUAACGCAUUAAGCGCCCCGCCUGGGGAG
rnacentral:rRNA from 1 species